rnacentral:misc_RNA from 1 species
AAGUCGUAACAAGGUUUCCGUAGGUGAACCUGCGGAAGGAUCAUUAAGUAAUACGAGGGAUAAAAAAUUAAAACUGUCCGUGGUUAUGCGUAUCGUUCAGUCGGUCGUUAUAUAAGCGUGAUUGGGAUUUGUCCGUAGUAGUACAUCGGAGGGCGUCUGUGUAGUGCAGAUUCCGUUAUCUUAUGUAUAAACGGCGUAUAUCGCAGGGUAUGAGUUUAGUCACAUGCUGUUUGUUGUAUACAAGCAUUUUUCUCUUUUUUUAUCUUCUCUAUAAAAAUUCAUUUGUGAACCGUAUUAUUAUUCGGCGCUUGAGGAAUGCUCUCUGGUCAUAAUGGACAGGCCAGGGUAGAUGUUAACCGAGUCGAAAUCAAGCUUAGGCUUGGUGUCCUUUUAUUAUUUAUCCAAAAGGAAUUCAUUUUAAAAUAUUUUAAUAUGGCUUAAAAAACCAUUAGAACAA